AUUGAACGCUGGCGGCAGGCCUAACACAUGCAAGUCGAACGCGUGGCGGACGGGUGAGUAAUGUCUGGGAACCUGCCCGAUGGAGGGGGAUAACUACUGGCAACGGUAGCUAAUCCCGCAUACCAUCGGAUGUGCCCAGAUGGGAUUAGCUAGUAGGUGGGGUACCGGCUCACCUAGGCGACGAUACCUAGCUGGUCUGAGAGGAUGACCAGCCACACUGAAACUGAGACACGUGCCAGAAUCCUACGGGAGGCAGCAGUGGGGAAUAUGGCACAAUGGGCGAAAGACUGAUGCAGCUAGGCCGCGUGUAUGAAGAAGGCCAUCGGGAUGUAAAGUACUUUCAGCGAGGAGGCGGUACUCGCAGAAGAAGCACCGGCUAACUCCGGGCCAGCAGCCGCGGUAAUAC
rnacentral:rRNA from 1 species